rnacentral:rRNA from 1 species
UACGUAGGUGGCAAGCGUUGUCCGGAUUUACUGGGCGUAAAGAGCGCGCAGGCGGUCGUUCAAGUCGCGUGUGAAAGCCCCCCGGCUCAACUGGGGAGGGUCACGCGAUACUGAUCGACUCGAAGGCAGGAGAGGGUAGUGGAAUUCCCGGUGUAGUGGUGAAAAUGCGUAGAUAUCGGGAGGAACACCAGUGGCGAAGGCGACUACCUGGCCUGUUCUUGACGCCGAGGCGCGAAAGCUAGGGGAGCAAACGGGAGUUAAGAAAACCC